UAUUGUCCUUAUUCUACUCUCGUUAUCUGUUGUUUCUUUCUCGUUUACAACAAUCACUCGACUUUUAACGUCAAAAUUUUCAAGUGUAGUAAACGGAAAGCUACGCAAGUUAACUAUAAUUAGCCCCCCGUCGGUUCUCCGUUUCUCGCCGGAGUUCGUCGAGAGUCCCCAUCUCCCUCCUCUUCUUUCAAUCACCACGGGUCUCGCGACUAUCGGCAGGGGGCCUCAUGUGAGUCGGCCUCUCCGUGCUCUACAAUGGGGACGCCGGUCCCUUGGCGACCUAAGCCGUGAGCUUUCCUCGCAUUGUGGAGCGGCAGCGCAUUGGUACGGAGGGCAAAGUUUGUCGUCGGAAGACCGUCGGCUGCGCCCUAUGACGUUGCCACGACGAGGCCAUGAUGAGACAAUGGUCUUCGGCAAUUCUCAGCCUGUGAGAAAUCCCUGAAUGCACCAAGUUCAAGGGGGUGCAAUCAUGUAUUUGAUUCUGUCUAUCCCGGUUUGUGCCCACUGAUAUGUUCUGUGUGUCGUAGUGUUGGCAUGUGUAUUGUGCCUUGUCGAGGAUGUGCCCAUACAAUACGAGCUUUCCAUGGAGCUCAUGUCAAUCUGUUGCUAAUGUUACUGAUUGGCACUUACCAUAAUAGUAUAUAUAUGACAUGCACUUGUGUUGCCAAAAUUAAAGCUCCAAGUUCCAACAGACGGCAAGAAGCUGCAGCUCUGAAAAAGUGGUGUGGAGGUGUAAUUUCCAGCGAAAAGUGCAUAGAUAACUUCGAGCAUUGAAGGUAGAUUAGGUGAUCUUAUCGUGCAUUUAAGGUGUACAUGGUAUUGCUUAAAUCCAUUCAUUAGUGGCAGAAAUGCUGACACUCCCUGAAGUUUUUAAGAAUUGGUCUUAGAUGGUCCUUACUCCCUGUACUAAUACAUUUAUGAUUAAUCCUUUUCCAUUCUCAACCAAGGGCUUGUUUUACGUUCCUUUUCUUUAAUUUCCGCCAAUAAAGCUAUCAAAAAAUUGGCAUAGUUUUCAGAGUAUGUCUCUGCUUUUUGAAAUCUUGCCUCAGCCCAUCAUAAACAAGGACUAGCAAUGUACACACUAGUAAACAUAACAAAUUAGCUUGUUUUUGUUUAUUUUUUAAAGGUACCAUGCCUACACAUUUAUUUGGUUUUGUCUUCUGGUUUAUUUUGUACCUGAAAUGAUAUAUGCAACUACUUGUUCUAAAUAAUUAGAACCUUGUCCUAGUAAUAUCACACAAUUUCAAGUAAGAAACAUGAGGAAGGAAAGCACAUCAAAAUUGAAAUUCACACAUCUGUGAUAAGAUGGUCUAUGCAUGGCAUUUGUUUCUGGAUUGAAUAGUUGUUUUUUCACUUUAGUUUGUACUGUACCACACACUAAUGAUAAGGUGUCAUUAUUGUUCUUUUCUUUUAUUCUUGGUUUCUCUUUAUUUUUUUUUCAUUUGUCUCCAUAGGACAUUUUGCUGGAAGUUAUAUAUGGUCUGUUGAUGCUUGAGGAGCAUCAUCUGUGUGGUGCAUUCAUUGGGCACAUUGGAUGUGCUCUCUAUGUCUUACAUAUCCUUCAUCAUCAUCAUCUUAUUUUGUAAUUGUGCUCCCCGAUAAGGUUUUUAAUCUUUAAUGAUACAUUCCAUAGUCUUCAAAAUUGCAGACCAGUUUUGCUCCUAAUCAGUAAUCAGAGUGGAGGAUGAUUAAGAGUUUUGAAGGUUAAAAUCUUUCAGUAAGUGCAUUGAAUGGCUCCUUGUUGUUUGAUAGCUAGCAAACUUUUUGUGGCCAUUGAUGAAGGUGUUCUAGGUCUUCCACAAUGGAUGUCAUAAUUUUUUAUGGCACCAUCAUUAUUAGUGGUAUAUUUUGUUUUGACUUAUUGUACAGAUCCCUCCAUUUUACUCUGUUUCAUCUGCUGGCUUUUAGGCCUUGAAGCUUAUGUUGUUAUAUUUUUUUCAUGUUUGUCAAGUCAUAUUAAUGUAAGAAACAAGAAAAAGGAAAACUAUUUUCGUUGCUUUAUGGUCGGUAAAUCUAAAUUUUUGUCUGAUCUUGUUUUUAUGUAUCCUGAAGCAUUUGGAAACUGCUGAAAAUAUAUGUUGUGGCAAAUUGAAAGUUGAGAAUGGUUCUUUUUGUGCUGGCUACUUUUCUGCAUUUCAAAGGUCAAGUAAAAGCACUUUUAUUUCUAUAGUUCUUUGUUUCACAAACCUUUUUUUUCUAGAAUAUUCUGAUCAGAGCUUGUCUAUUGUGUGUCACUAAUUAUGAUGCCUGUUGAUUCUUUGAGGUAGGAACUAUUUGCAUACAGCAAAAUUAUGCUGGACAUCUUAUCUUGUCCUAGGUUCCCUUGUUCCUUGGCCACAAGAGAGUUCUGUGUACCUUCAUUCUCGGCUGGCUGCCGAUGACAGUUUCAACAACUUAUUAUUACAAUUUUUUUAUUGGAACUAUCCACAAUUUAGAUCAGAAGCAUUGGUUGUAAUGGUCCCUGUCACACUCUAGUCAGCAUCUUCAAUAUGCAUUAGCCAUCUUAAUUGGAUUUGUACAAAAUUUGGAGAGUACUAUUCCAGCUGGCGAGGAUUGUGUAUUUGUGUGAUUGUUCAAUAGAUUCUCGACUAAAGCAUGUGCAAGCUGAAGAAAAUAUAAGCUUACUUCUUAGGAUAAAUGCAAGCUUUGAGAUCUUUCAUAGAAUAUUAUGCUACACUCAAUAGUUAGGUCAUCCAUUCUUUCUCUUCUUCUAUCUUUCGUUUUCAUGUACACCUCAUUGAUAGAGUACAGGUCAAAGGGGCACAAGCUAUUCUUAUUCUACAUAUUCUUUAUUCCCGGUGUUAUGGUCUAUCUUUCUCCUUUUCUCUCCACUAGUCCCACAGUGAGGUCAUUUGGGCCAUGUUUUCUACUUUUUUCCUGCCUCUGAUGGAUGCUUUGUCAAAGUGGUUUGCUUUUGAGCUUGAGUGCCUUAAUCCCGAAAGAAGCUUCCAAUCAGCUGAUGACAAAGAGGGAGCUCAAAAGCUAAAUGAAAGUUAUCCUCAUGUAACAUCAAAAGAAGCUGACUUUACUGAGUUGUUUGAAGGACAGAUCCUACUGAUCUAACUUUUAGUUUCUUUCAGCUCAUAAGACAGAAAUUGGCCAUUGUUAUGCACUAAAAUAUUUUGUUACUUUUGAUGAAAAAAAAUCUCUUUUUAUCAUUACAUAAUAAUUUUUUUCUUCUGAAAAUUAUGGAAACAACUUCUGUGUUUAUAAGCGUAAGAUUGUAUGCAUUGAUCUUAGUUAGAUCUGAAACAAAUAAAUGAGAUUGUCAAAGGCUAUUUUGCUGCUGAAGAUUAUUUUUUAACAAUGAUAAACAAAUAUUCUUUUAUGCUAUGCCUCAAUUAAAUAGUUGUAGAAUAGUUAUCAUAAACUCUGAUUUUUGUACAGCUGAAGGCCUGGUCACUAGUAGCAUGUGAAGCAACACAUUGGCAGGUGAUAUUCCAUGAUUUUUCGAUUGCUUCUUGCAUUCUUUUUCUCAUUUCCUUCACCUGGAUUUAUGAAUCAUAUGCUGCCAUUAUAGUUAUAUGCUUCAUGUUAUGGGUUCCUUUUUAUGUGGAAAUUAACUUGUCUGACCAUAAUUUGAAGGUUUUUAUGAGUAUAGCUAGUACUUCAAGCUUAAUACCAAUAGGCAUAAUGAUGAAACAUGGCCCUCCUCAUUCAUUGCCUUCUUUCAUGUUGGAUUUAGAAACUCUUGGGUCAAACAUAGUGACUUUGUUAGUUGGUCAACCAUCAGAUAAAUGGAUACAGAUAUAGGUCAGAUUCCAAAAUGGAACUGUGGGAGUGGAAAUGCCAACAGUCAUUAAGUAGUUAGUAGUCAUUUGGUCUCAAAGUGGUUGAGCAUUUCAUGUGUUGACUUAUCAUCAGCCCUUUUGACUGAGAAAUCUUCUGCCUCCACUAAAUUUUGUUUGACUAAUGAGAGAAAGUUAGAUGGUGCUAAGGUCUGGAGAAAUCAGUGAGCUGGAUUUGUCUGUGUGCAUCUUGUUUUUUUUCUUGUUUUAAUCAGUUGGUGGUAAUAUGGUGGAUCUAAUUCUUUCCAUUUGCCUAACAUAGGUGGUUUCUUGAUUCCCAAUUUCCUUUUGUGAUGUAUAAUAACUUCUAUAGAGCAUGUUAGCAUAGCGUGCCCAUGUUUCUGAGUAGUACUAUGUUCUCCCUUGUGAUUGUGAAGAAUAAGAGAGAGGAUGCUUCUGUUUGGUAGGACACACUUGGGUUGUGGCCCUGGAAAAGGAGACUUUGCUGGCUGUGGCAGAAACUUAGGACUAUGUUAAGUGGGAGAAGAGAUGGGCCCAUGGGGAACUUUCUCUUUUCCUUGUCUUGUUCUCACUCAACCUUCUUCACACCCUAUGCAGUCUGUUGCUUGUAUUAUUGCAGGAACAUUUGGAAGUAGCUGUUUCUGUCAUCCUUCUAUUCCCCACUUGACAGACAAGCAAGCCAAUUUAGACCUCUCUUCUUAUAUCCGAGCUUUCCUGGUCCUAUUCCUAUCUGCUGUACUUUUAACCCUCAUGAACUAAUGUCAUGCUUGUCUUUAUAGAUCCAGGAAUCAGAGGAGGAUGCAGUUCUGAUGGCAGCCAGUAAAGAACCUAAGCAAAUGAGGCAACACUCUUGUUCGAUGAAGCUACUUUGCAAGCUUUCAGCUUCUUCUUUCAGUAGAAGAUCAGAAGCUCUGCUCCUCUACGAGGCCUCCUGGAAGUUCAGAGAUCGACAAAGUGCUGCCGGGUUGACAUGCAGC